rnacentral:rRNA from 1 species
UACGUAGGGGGCAAGCGUUGUCCGGAAUCAUUGGGCGUAAAGAGCGCGUAGGCGGCCCUGUAAGUCCGCUGUGAAAGUCAAGGGCUCAACCCUUGGAUGCCGGUGGAUACUGCAGGGCUAGAGUCCGGAAGAGGCGAGUGGAAUUCCGAGUGUAGAGGUGAAAUUCGUAGAUAUUCGGAAGAACACCAGUGGCGAAGGCGACUCACUGGCCCGUUACUGACGCUGAGGCGCGAAAGCGUGGGGAGCAAACAGG